ACGAACGCUGGCGGCGUGCCUCAUCCCUGCAAGUCGAACGCUUCUUUCCUCCCGAGUGCUUGCACUCAAUUGGAAAGAGGAGUGGCGGACGGGUGAGUAACACGUGGGUAACCUACCCAUCAGAGGGGGAUAACACUUGGAAACAGGUGCUAAUACCGCAUAACAGUUUAUGCCGCAUGGCAUAAGAGUGAAAGGCGCUUUCGGGUGUCGCUGAUGGAUGGACCCGCGGUGCAUUAGCUAGUUGGUGAGGUAACGGCUCACCAAGGCCACGAUGCAUAGCCGACCUGAGAGGGUGAUCGGCCACACUGGGACUGAGACACGGCCCAGACUCCUACGGGAGGCAGCAGUAGGGAAUCUUCGGCAAUGGACGAAAGUCUGACCGAGCAACGCCGCGUGAGUGAAGAAGGUUUUCGGAUCGUAAAACUCUGUUGUUAGAGAAGAACAAGGACGUUAGUAACUGAACGUCCCCUGACGGUAUCUAACCAGAAAGCCACGGCUAACUACGUG
rnacentral:rRNA from 1 species